rnacentral:rRNA from 1 species
CCUACGGGAGGCUGCAGUCGAGGAUCUUCGGCAAUGGGCGCAAGCCUGACCGAGCGACGCCGCGUGGGCGACGAAGGCCUUAGGGUUGUAAAGCCCUGUCGAGGGGGAGAAAAGGCAACUUGAUCUAUCCCUGGAGGAAGCACGGGCUAAGUUCGUGCCAGCAGCCGCGGUAAGACGAACCGUGCGAACGUUGUUCGGAAUCACUGGGCUUAAAGGGCGCGUAGGCGGGCUGCCAAGUUUGGGGUGAAAUCCUCCGGCUCAACCGGAGAACGGCCUCAAAUACUGGCGGUCUCGAGGGGGGUAGGGGCAUGCGGAACUAUGCGUGGAGCGGUGAAAUGCGUUGAUAUGCAUAGGAACUCCGGUGGCGAAGGCGGCGUGCUGGACCCUUUCUGACGCUGAGGCGCGAAAGCCAGGGGAGCAAACGGGAUUAGAUACCCCGG